AGCAAAGUACUUUCUGCAGCAUCUUUCCUCUCUGUCCCAGUCUUAAACUCAGCAAGGUACCUGUGGUAAUCACCCUUCAUUUUGAGGUAAAAGACUUUACUUUCGGGAGAUGCAGCAGAAGGGAUGAGGUUGGACUCGAGGAGGUUCAAAAUCCCAUCACAGAUCUUGCUGAGCUCGGUCUCAAUCUUUCCCCUGUACUCCUUUAUAAUAGCAACGUGGUCCUCAUUGCCUCUGCUCUCCUCCUUCUGCUCGAUGGAGGAUAUGAUCCUCCACGAAGCCCUCCUCGCCCCAAUCACGUUCUUGUAUGCCACAGAGAGAAGAUUCCUCUCCUCCACAGUCAACUCCUCAACCUCCACAGUCUUCGCAACCUUCUCCAUGAACUCAACCAUCUCCUCGUACCGCUCAGCCUGCUCGGCCAACUUCGCCAUGUAAACGUUCUCCUCCCGAGAAGAAUCUGCCAUUUCUCUGAUUCGCGAACUUCACGUAAUCCUGCAAUGCAAUCACAUCGUAGUUAAAAUGAAUUCAUUCAAGAUCUAAAAAUAAUUCAAGUUUUAACAAUUUUGAAUAGUUUAAUAAACAAAACUACACUCAAUUUUAAAAUUAUUAAUUUAUUUUAGAAUAAAAAAAGAAGAAUCGGUUUCACUACAACUCGACACACAAAACGAUCCGUUUCUCAGUUUAAACUUGUUUUCCCUCGUACGAAGAGAAAAUUGGUCAACAACACGAUAUGCAGAAACAAAAAUCUAGGAGGCAUAAUCGGAAUCGGAAGGAAAAAUGAAAAUAAAGAAAAUUAGAAGUGAGUGGUGAGAAUGAAAACCUAGAAAUAGAAGAUGCAGAUCUGGAUGAUGAAACCUAGGAGAAACAAAAUAGAGAAAAGAAUGCGCGGAAUGAAACCCUAAAAAAGAGAUGAAAGUGCGAUGAUGAGGUAAGAGAGAGUGGAGAACGAACCUGAAGCAGAGAGAGAGAGAAUGAAAAUGAAUAAAGGGAGAAAAACACGAGAAAUGAAGGCGUUGAUAUAGGAGAGGAUAAUCCAAUGAAAAUGUGACACGUGGCGGAUGGCGGAGAUUCCGUGAGAAGUGGGAAACGUUGGUUGACCGGUGUUGAGGAAUGUGAAUGUGUAGUGUAGCAGUCGGGUCAGUAGGGUUGUCUCUGUGCUUUUAUACAACAAUUUUAUAAAAAAAUAUAUAUUUUAAAAAAAUUAUACGUUUUAGUUUAUGAAUGAAAAAUUAUUUUUUAUUUUUUAUAAUUUGAUUAUACAAUUUUUAUUAAGUGUACUCGAACUGGGUUUUGGGUUUGGGGACUGGGAGAACUAUUGUCUCCAGGUGUCACUCGGUCGAUCGUGUCUCACGUUCUUUCUAUCUUCUUCGUCGAACGGCUCCUCAGACUGGUGGGGUACCUGCAAAUGGUACUCCGACACUCAAGUCAAUGGGAUGUCGUAUUCGGCGCUCAAGUCAGUGAGAUGUCGUAUUCGGCUGGUUAGAAUACUGUAGAUAAUGACGUAACUUCUUUCUUGGAAUGCGUGACAUUUAUAUUACCUUGAUGGACCCUUGCUGUUGGGCCGGAUUAGAGGGUUGUUUAGCGAUUAGGAUUGAAUUAGGUCGUUUCCUAACCAUGGGUUAGCCUUUACUAAUCGGGUCAACCUUUGACUUGAACAUCUUAUGUCGGUCGACCACAUAUGCCACUUGGUCGACCUCGUACCUUAAGGUGUGAUGGUUGCGUGAGUUGACCGGGUCAACCCCAGUACAUUAAGAUUUAAUAUUUUUAUUAAGAUUUUGAUUAAAAUUAGUGAUGAAAUAUUGUUAUUUAGAUUGAAGUGGGCCCAUCUUGGCCUCGCAACUCACGGUAACAUUGAGCAUUCAUCAUGUUUUGUUUUUUCUUCGUCAACUUUUAAUCUGUGUUCCGUGCUUUCACUGGACCCCAAACAAGCCACUAGUUACUGCUUAUAAAACCGAUGCAUAUCUCUACACGAUGCCAAAUAUUAUUUAUUAUUAUUAUUAUAGGAACGAAGGUUAGAGGUUUUAGUACCCGAGAUGACUAAAUUGUUAAAACUUAGCAAAAGAUUAAUCAGUUUAAAAUAGUAAUUAAAUAUGUUUUUAAUUAUGAUUUAAACGUUAAAUUCUAUCUAUAAUAAUAUAUAAAUAGUCACUCACUUUUUAAGAAAAAAAUAAAUUAUCAUAUAUUAAUUGUAUCAAACAUUGAAUAUAAAAAUCUUACUUGAACAUCAGAAUAUCUUUACAGAUACCAUUAAGAUAGUAAAGCGACCAAAUCAAGAUAGGAGAUAAUAGUUCUCUGAGUCUUGAUCCGUAAUUUGGAUUCUGAUUUACAUAAAAAUGAUAAUUUAAUGAAAUAUUUCUUAGGAGUUGUUGUAGAGUAAAAUAACAAGAGUGAUUCUAAAAUGAGACAAUAUUGUUCUCGCUAAAUUGAUUUUCCAGUUGUUUAUUCAGUAAACAUUAUAGUCAAUGAACAAGAACAAAAGUAAGAAUUUUGUAGUAGAAACUUUGUAAUUCUCUCUCUCUAUUUUUUUUUCUUUUUUUUUUUAACUUAUAAUGCGACAUUGUUUAUAUCGGUUGAGGAUAGUUAAGUUAAAUGUAAAUAAGUUGGUAUGGUUGAAAUAUAUGAAAUAAAAUUAAAAUUAAAGAUAGUUAUUAGAAUAAAUGUGUAGAAAUAAGUAAGAAAUAAGAGAUUAUGUUUUACAAUUUUUUAAAGUUAUUUAAGAUAAUAAAUAUGUGGAGUAAUGUGUGAAACCUAAUUGGUUUGGUUGAUGUGACUAGACAUGUCCUACCUAACGAGUGUACCAUUGUGGAUUGCUCACAGAACUUUACUUCAUUUUCACCGUCACUUCAGAAUUUUGUCAACUUGUUUAGGUUUAGUUAAUGCUUUUCAUAAAUACACGGAAAUGGUUUCAGAUUAUUUUAGUGUUCAUUGUAUUAAUUGUUGAAUUGUCAUGUUUAUGAGCUACUUAUUUGAGUGGUUGAGCCUUCAAUGGUCUAAGGCUCCUUAGAUUUACUUUUGAUAGGAGACUAGAUGAAGCUCACUGGUCAAUAGAUGAAAGUAGAAGUACUUUACCAACACUUUAAUGCUCUGUUUCUAAAAAGACAGAAUUUUUUUUUUUUUUCUAGUCAUUUAGACGGAUGAAAAGGCGAAGAAAGUUGAAUGAGGGUAUAAGGUAUCUCCUCAUAGUUGAGAAGAGAAGAAAGUGGAACCCAAUAGAGAAAAGCUAAGUAAGAUUUUUUUAGUUUCCAUUUUUGUCCCAAAUAAAUGUUUUUGUCCAAUGUAAUAUUUGAAUUGAAAAUAUUUUCAAAAAUAAUUUUCUUAUAUUAAUAAUAAUAAAAACCAUCAGUAAUAUUACUUUUCUUAUAUAAAAAAAUAUGUACUUAAUAUAUAUAUAUAUAUAACAUAAUGUAAUAUAAAUUAAAUAACUAUAAUUAUUUAGAUUAAUAUAUAUAUAUAUAACAUAAUGUAAUUUAGAUUAAUAAAAUAAAAAUAAUAUGAUUUUAUUUAAAUUUUUAAUUUUAUUUCUUUAUUUUAAUUUUACAUUUUUUAUUUUUAUUUAUAAUUGUAAUUUUAUAUUAAUCAACUAAAAUAUGCACAAAAUUAAUUAUUAUUAUUUUUUUCUUUUUUAUACACAAGGGUAAAUUUAUAAUUUUGUAAUUCACACUAUUAAAAAUAAUUCAAAAUACUCUUACAACCAUUUCAUCACUCACAAACUUCGAUAAACUUUCUUCACAAAUCCACUUUAACAUACCUUAAUCCAAAUAACCUCACUUUCUUCACACUUUCCUCUUAAAUCACUACAAAUCCACUUCCUCAAAUCCCAAGAGAAUGAUAAUAUAUGAAAAAAGAAAAAAAAAAUAUACAUAUGUUAUAAGUAAUGAUAUUUUCACAUAUUUUUAUUAUUGUGAUGGGCUACUAUAUAUGUUAUAUUUAUAGAUAGUGAUAUCUUGAAAUCAGUUAUAUACAUAUAUGUUAUAUUUAUGAAUAAUGAUAUAUUGAUACUAGUUUUAUACAUGGUGGUCGAGGGUUGUAUAUGCUAUAUUUAUGAAUAAUGAUAACUUAACAUCAAUUUCAUACAUAGUGGUCGACUAUUACAAUGUUAUAUUUAUAGGUAAUGAUAUAUUAAUACCAAUUUUAUACAUAAUAUCGACUACUAUAUACUUUAUAUUUAUGGAUAAUGAUAUUUUGAUAUCAGUCCAUAUAUAGUGAUAUAGUGAUUUACUGAUAUAUUUAUGAAUAAUGAUAAUCAGCAAUCAAUAAACUAAAUAAAAAAGGAAACACAAGGGUAUUUCAACUCAAACAACUUCUCUAAGCAUCCAGCUAGUGCAAAUUUCACAAAACAAAGCAAAAAUAUCCACUGAUAAGCAAGAAACGCUAAACGACUUCACACAAGAAAGGAGAAAAACCCCUCUCAUACAAAAGGCAUAAGGGAAUAAACUAAGGCCAAACCGUAGUUCAAGUGCAUCCAAAAUACUAAACCAAAUAUGUUUAAAACAUCAAUCUUCAGCUAGCCAUACUGAAAAAAUCAUCCAUGGGCAACACGAAUGACUUGCUUGCCAACGUUCUUGCCAUGGAAAAGUCCAACGAAAGCAGCUGGAGCACUUUCCAAGCCUUCAUUCAUGUCUUCAAUAUACACAAUCUUUCCCUGCUUAUAGUAAUUUGAGACAUCUUCCAAAAAGCGCGGGUAUAGAUUCAAGUAAUCACUUUGCAGAAAACCCUGCAUUCUGAUGCGCCUUGAAAUGAGGUUGAAUAAAUUGUAUAUUCCAAUGGGCUUGGAAGGGUUUUGCUGAGAUACCAUCCCACAAACUGCAAUUCUACCAUGAAUCUUCAUGUUAAGGAGUGCAGCAUCAAGCAUGUUCCCACCCACAUUGUCAAAGUAGAUGUCAAUGCCAUGUGGAAAAUACCUGUCAUGUAAGCCAGGAAAAAUUGUGUUUGUGACUGGAGUUUUGAAUGUCAAAGUCAUGAAGGAUAACUAACCAGUGAGAAGUAGAAAUAGUUGUAAACUUAUUUCUCAAGAACACUUUUAGAAAAACCAUUUUGUUUCCAUAGACAAUAGCUAACAAUUCAAUUGUUCACAAACCUUUGUAGAGCCGCAUUCAAGUCUAAUUCUUCUUUGUAGUUAAAAGCUUCAUCGAAGCCAAGCUUAUUCUUUAGAAGGUCAACCUAACACAACAAAUUCAAUGAGAAAAUUAACAAAGUACUAGGUUCAAGUAUCUGUGUGUGCAUUCAUGUGUCUAAAUGUCAAUACUUCAUCUAUUUUUAUAUGUUGGGAAUCCCUCCUUAUUCUAAUGGCGACCAUAACCAAUGAAUCUUGAUAACUGAUCCAUUGAAUAAUGGUAAUUCCAAAAGUCUUGGAAUUAUAACUCUUUUUUGAAAAUGUGAUGAACUUUAAUUACCCACUAUGUCUUUAUGUGAUAAACUUUCCUCUCAUUCUCUAUAUAAAGAGAACUUGUGAGGAAGAGAAAAACAAACAAGUGAGAAAACAACCUAGAGAGUUGAUAUCCACCAUAGUGUGAGAUUAGAAAUCCUAGUGAAAGGUUAGAGAGAAGUUGUAUUUCAUCAUUCUUGGGUGAGAUUGAGUGUUUUCUCACAGAGUGAGAUAAACAAAUAUUGUAAUCCUACUUUCAUAGUGAAAACAUUUUCAUAUUGAAGAAGUUUGCAACCUUAAAAAUUAUCAGUGUCAUUAUUCUAUUUGCUCUAUUUUCUAUUAUUUGUUUAUUGCUUGCGUAAGUGUUCAUUUUUUAUCUACACCAAAGAGAGAGAAUUAAUUCUGAUUUUCCUAACAAUAUACAGAAAAAGGAACAACUAAUUCAAGCAUUCAGUUUUACUUUCGGCAAUCAUUAGUGAAGCUGACCUUUUCCUUUGAUCCAGCACUUCCAACAACAUAGCAACCUUGUAACUUGGCAAGUUGCCCUACAAGCUGACCUACAGCACCAGAUGCUGCAGAUACAAAAACAUAUUCUCCUUUGCUUGGGCUGCAAACCUCAAAAAAUCCCGCAUAGGCAGUAAAACCUGGCAUUCCUAUAAAAUUAAAGAAAAAAUGAAUGGCUAAUUAUUUAUCAAACUAGACCACCAGUAGAAGACUGGAAGUGAUUUCAUUUCCAUACGUAAGUCAAAUAAAGAAAAACACAGAGGCUGAAUGUUGAAAGGAUUUGCAAGGUCAAAACAACUGUGCCAUAAAAGACAUGAUUGCAUAAAAUAUAACAAAGGAACUCUCUAAUAUUAGAGGAUUCCCUCCAACCAGAUGAGACGAAAAUAAUGAAUGAGCUCAAAAUGGUGCAAUCCUACAUUAUCAAUUAGUGACUAUAAUGUUCAACAACAGAGUGAAUCUAUAGGCAAAAAAAAAAAACUAUCAACACUUCCAGCAAACUAAAAUCCAAAUCUGGUGGCACUCGGUUAUGAAUCAGGGCGAUGUUGGGCCAAAAUUCCGAAAAAAGGGAAGUUACACAUAGCAGUGCAUUCUAUUCUGUCAUAAUACAUAUAGGAGCCAUACACAAUCUAUUCUGCUCGGAUUGUUAAAGGGUGCAUUAAUUCUCCCCUAAAGUUGAUAGGUGAAUUAAGUCACAGUCCAAUAGUAGUGUUUAGACUCUUAUACUCUUAGUUUAGACUGAUAUACUCUUAAUUAGAAAGAGAAAUAUUUGCGCUCAUAGUAUUAGCUAUAGAUAACAAUGUACUCAUAAAUCAUAUGAGUAAGCACAAGCAAAGAUACCAAUACCAAACGUGAUUGACAUUUGGAUACAACAAACUUGUAUAAAAUUAUAAGAUAUAAAUCCAAAUAGGAGACAAAAGAAAGAAAAAAGCAUGUGUUGGAAAGUCGAUAGUAAUAAUUGAGGGGAGUGGCAUACCAAGAAGACCGACAUGGAAAGAGAGAGGAAUGCGGUCAUCAGGUUCAAUUUUUCUGAGCUGGUCUGUUCUUUUGAUGAGGCUAUACUCUUCCCAGCCAGUGAACCCGGUAAUGAAAUCACCAGGCUUGUAAUUUGGAUUAUCAGAGUGUAUAACUUUCGACACACCAAAUCCUUCAAGUGCCUUCAUCAAAACACACAGGAAUCAGUUAUUCACUGUAUCACAUGGCGUCAUAUUAUAACAUAAUUAAAUCAUCAGAAGAUUUUAAGUCUAAUUUUAUCUUAUAAUGUGAGGUUUACAUAACUAUUAAAUGUUGUAAUCUCUAGUCGAUAAACCCUAAACCCCUAACAGUGAAUGAUUUGUAACUUGAUUUACACCUAUUUAUAAACUAUUAAAUGUCCUAAACUCAAUGUGUUUUGUAACCUGACUAUAAAUGAGUUUUGCAUCUAAUUAUAAACUAUUAAAUGUACUAUUCUCUACUAAUGUGGAAUCUCUAACAGUGAGUGGUUUGUAACCUGGCCAGGGACAAACGGAGGGAUAUAAGAUCCGUGGAAAUCACGCAUGCGACCGCGCAUGUAAGGAUCGCAAGAGAGGUAAAGGUUUUUGACGAGAAUUGCUGCGGAGCCUUGCGGCGGAGGGUUGAGCUCGAGAUUUGAAAGCUUGAGCUCCAUAUCUGUUUCUUUAGGAAUAUCAUCUAUGUAGCCUUUGAAUGUGACCUUCUUGUUCUGCACUACUUCUUCUGCCAUGGUGGGAGAAGAUCCAAUUCAAAUGAGGAGAAGAGAACUACUACUACUGGUUCUUGGCUCAAAGUUCAACAGUGGAAAAUGUUUAUUUGAAUCAUGACGUGUGCACCUAAUCACCUCGUUCUCCAAGUAGCUAGAUUUGGAUGCCGCGGUCUUCUUCAUUCUACCUACCACCCUCUUUACUUCUUCCAACCGCCAAUUAGCAGAAACACGAAUACAAAUAUUAAUACGGAAAAACAUAUAAUCUUUAAAAUAAAAAAACAUAAAUUUAUAUGAUAUAAAUUAAUAAUAAAGAUUUAUGUAUAUAUUAUGCCUUAAAUAAGUUUAAAUAAAAAUAAUAAUUUUUAUAACUGAUUUAAAGAAAUUUGUUCGUUUAUUUUUAUAAUUUCAAUAAAAAUUAAUAUAAUAAAUUUUGAGUUUUAAAAAAUUAAUAUAUUUUUAAUUGUGAUACAAUAUACUAAUCUCAUACGCCACUUUAAUUGUGAUACGAUUUAUGUACUGUACAAAUCUCAUACGCCACUCUUGGGUUCAGUAGAAUCAUGUAAGAGCAAAACUAUACUUUUUGUUUGGAAUGGAACACCAGUACACAGUGGAAAUAUAUAAAUACAUUUUCUUAUAAAUAUGUAUUUCCACAGUUUUUCUUUUAGUUUUUUGGUCGCUACUUUUAUUUUAUUUGACAUGACUAAUAUAUUUUUUUCUAAAUAAUAAAAAUAUUAAAAAGGUAUGGUGUCGAUAGAUAUUUUUCAUUUGUAUUUAAAGUCAUCUUAUGUCCUAAUUCAGAUUAUUCAUCUCCGAAUAUUUAUUUACAAAUUCAUAGGAUUCGCAUUUUUAGCAAAAUUUUGUUUUAUACCUAGAACUUGAAUAAAAAUCUUUACUUGAAAAAAUUGACUUACUGAUGUAGCAACUGGAAAAUAGGUCAGGUGAACAAUGCAUCUCCAUCUACAAUUUGAGAUUAAGUUCAUAGAAUCGUUAAAAAAUACAUUGGUAAUUAAUUAAAAAAUUAUUUUAAAGGCAACCCAAAUGUGAUUCUUAAAAUUCAAUAAUUUUAUUAUACAUUAAUUUAUAAUUACAUAAUAAUAUAAAAUAACUUAAUGUCAAUAUAUUUUAAUUAAAUUAUAUACGCAUUAAAAAAUUAAUAAUAUAAUAUAAAAAUAACUCAAACUUGAGGUGUCUCUUAUUCUAUAAUUAAUAAUAUAAAAAUAACUUAAACUUUCAUUAAAUCGUAUGCAUGUUAAACUAAUAAACAUAAGUUUGAGGUAUCUCUUAAUUAGAAAUCAAUGAAUAACAAAAUCAUUUAUAGUGAAAGAAGUAUAUUAAAUGAAAAAGUAGAUUUAGAUUUUUCAGAUAUUUACAAUGUAGGUACAGACAAUACAUACAUUUGUUGGAGUAAACUUCAAAAAGUAAAUCUUUCUUCAACUAUUUGAAUUCAAUGCCAUUCAAGUUUCAUACAAAAUUAUAAAGGUUAAAACAAGCAACUUUCCAGGGUAAAAAGCAUUCUCUCAACUAAUUUUCUACAAAAUAGAUUAUGCUUACAAAAUCCAAAACGAUCCCAAAAUUCAGUCAGAGUACACUUACAUGAUAAAAUCAUUGAAAUAAAUAAUAAACUGGGAAAGAACAAAACCCAGAAACUUUUUCAUUAUAGCAGAUUAAUUACUGCUGGCACCUCGAAAUAUAGAGAAAGUUCAUCAGUUUACGACACAGCCUAUCCAAAAGAGAGCUUCAAGAACAUCUAAGUUGGCUUCCGCAUGUUACGUCCAGCACGAAUCACUUCAUCCACCACCAGUAACUGAGAUACUAUAACUGGCCUGUAUGAUGGGAGGAAAGAAAUGAGGGGGGAAAACUCACACUUACGGUAAUGUUAAUAUGAGAGGAAAAAAAAUACAGAUUACAAUGUAUUUACUUUUUGUUUGGAGAGAGUUGAAAGAAAAGAGAAAUAUUGACUUCUAAAAAGGAAAAAUCAAAUUUCCCUCUCUUUUCACUUUCCCUGCUAUUAAAAUCCGUUUCCUCACUCACUCUCCACCAUACCAUUAGUAAUGGCACUGUUUUACUGUUUUAGUAUUAACACGUUCCUAGUUUCAAAGCCAAACAACAAACUGAAUGUGUCAACAGAUCAAGAUUCAUACCCUGAGUUUAUGAUUUGGCGUUUCACAGAGUAGUUGUCAAAAAUACCCUCCAUUGCAGGGUCUACAGGUUCACCUGUGUUCAGGCUCAACCCCACAAUAUUUCCUUUGUCAUGCUCUCCCUGAAACACCAUUCAGCAAGUACAAUAAUAAUAUAUCACUCUUCUAUUUUAUAUGAGAAUAUCUAUACAAUCACAUUAGGGAAAAAAAAGAUAAGUGGAAUGAGUUUAAGGAAGUAUACCGUGAGGGCAAUAAUCACAUCUUGAGUGUCAAGCCCAGAGUUUUCAGCAAGUGUCUUAGGCACCACAAGAAGUGCAUCAGCAAAAGCCGCAACACCAAGUUGUGCACGCUGUUUCAAGAUUAUAAACAUCAGAGUUGAAAAUUGAAUAAGUAAAUACAAUUAAACAAGAAAAACAUGGACAACCAGAGACUCGUAAUUUACCCCUUCAACUGUUUUCUUAACUUCGUUCAUCAGAUAUUGUCUAGCAGCAACUUCAAAUGCACCAGCACCCUGAUCAUGGGAAAGAAAAUUCUCUUCAAAUCAAUUACAAUCACAAAAAAAUUGCACAAAGAGUUCGUUAUUGGAGAUAUAUUAAUUUUAGCUUCGGUUUUUCGCAUGUAAAAAGCUUCCUUGUAGUUGUACUGAUUUCUUUCCAACAAUUAACUACUUGAGUGGAUUCAACAAUAAGCUCAAAAUUACUCAAUCAACGAUGGGUAGGAACAAAUCAAGUUAUUUAACCUAAAUUUAUGUAAAAGCACAUUAUUUUUCUUCUAAUUGAAUUCAUUAAUCAACUCAAGCACACAUUUGCAAUAAUGUGAGAUCGAGUUUCUGGUUUAUUUCGUUAUAAACGUGCUGAAAGCAUGUCCAAUCCUACAAUAAUCUUUUCUCUUUAAUCUAAUAAAUUAUAAACAACACAGUAGCUGCAAUGCUAGGUCCAGAAUUUCUUCUAUAGGGUAAAUUCAUUUGACUAAGGAAACUAUAACAAGAAAAUGGAGUUAAUCAAUAUGAAUAGCAUGAACAUGCAUAUUACAAAAGAAAAAUGUACAAUUCGUGUAUCAAAAUAAUUGAUUGACAUAAAAAUGUCUUACUAAGACAACAGAUUCGUCUUCAAGGGUAUUCUUAACGGCCCUCAAACCAUCACGUACAGCAUCUUUAAUCUGAGCUAUAGUAUGGUCAUUAGGACCUGUUUCAUCAUGACAGAAUUGCAAAUCUUAAAUACAUUACAGGAAAUAAAAUGACAGUUUCUUCAAAAGUCAAGUCAGAGCAAAAAUAAUAAAUAGCAAAAAAGGAUCUGAUUAACAAACGCAGAUUAGGUGAAAGGACAAUUUACCUUUAAUCAAGAUUGUGCAGGAAAAAGGAUUCUUAACAUUUUCUAUGAAUGUAUAUUUCUCUUCACCAAGGACAUGUUCAUAUACCAAACCUGCCCAACCAAGACAUUCAGGAGUCAAAUCAUCUACCGAGUUUACUGCCUCUCCUCCACAGGCCAAAACCAAUCUUUCCAUGUUUCUUCUCUUUGCUCUCCGUAGGCCAAUUAUCUAACACAAAAGGUCAAAAAAUAAGCAGAUGAAAAACAGGAUAGGGAUUGUCCAACUGAUGUCAGCUUAUGAGAGUUUACUUCGUGCUACAUUAGCAACAUGAAAUUUGUGUCAUGAGAUAUUUAACAUCACAGACAUUAUUAUAAUCAAAACAUACAGUCUUCAAGGAUCACCCAAUGGCUUUCGCUCAUAGAAAAAAUUAACCUCUGAAUUUUAACCUAGGGACAGGUCCUGGUUUUAGCUGAAUCAGUGCAAACCGACAGUCUUCAAUAAAAACUAUCUUCAAACUUCAUGCGUAAAUAAUCUAGCAAUUUGAUCAGACCACACUGGGGCAUGGUCAUUAUUUAUUGGUAAAACAAUUAAUUUCAAAAAUAUGUUUAUAACUUUCUAUGUAUUUUAAUUUGGAAUAUUUAAGACAUUUCAAACUGGGUUCUUCCUUCAACCAAUAAAAGAAAAUUAUGCCUACUGGUCAUUUUCAGCCUAUUUGUGCAUCAUUACCUAAAUAACUGAAAAGUGAAAUGAAAUUUCCAAGAGUACUUAUACAUUAUAUAGUCAUCUUCCCAAUAUUUAAGUUUUAAAAAACCUGAAUGUGAUGGUAUGCUACUUACUCCUUCCCUUGCAAGGAGGUCCAGUGAUGGAGGAUCAAUUCCCUUUUGGUUGAUGACAACAAAGUUGGUAUUAUCAUCAGUGCAAACCUGCAUACACAUACAUGAAGUUAUAUAGUCAGGAGCAGUGAAAUAAAAUCAAGCUAUUGAUGAGAGAUGGAUCAAGAAAAAGGGGGUUCCAACAAUAAUCCAGAGACGAUUAGUAUAUCUAUUUUACAGAAACAUGAAAUAACAUUAUUAUGUUAUUGGCAAUAUAGCAGACCAGAUUAACAUGUAAAAAUCAAUACAUACAGGGAGCAAAACUUCUCUACCUUAUUCUUCAGUUCAAUGAUUUUCUUGACCCUCUCAUCAACCUGCCGUCUUUCAGCAGCAACCAUAGCCUCUCUCUGUUCCGCAUUUGAGUAGAAAAAACCUGAAUUUACCUCACUGGGAGAAGAAAACAUUGACUUCAUUAGUCUUACAGACAUCAAACAUAGUUCAGAUAGGCCAAACAUCUGAUAGUGAAAACCACACAAUGUAUAUACAUCAUUGACUUAAAGUGAUAUAACUGUCGACAAAACAGUGUGUUGAUGGGUUGAAAUUAUUAAUUUUACCAUUACAAAGUUUGCAUGGUUGAAAUAAAUAAAUAAAAAUAGAUUUCCCUUUAUUAAUACAUAUAAGCUUGGUUUGUUCUAGGUUAAAACCGGUUUUUCUAGAAAGAGAAAGCAGGUAAUUCAGAUUAAAAGAAAAGACAAUUGAUGUGGCAAUACCUAAUUUUCUUACAUAGUAAAUGAAUACUUUAUUUGUUUCAGGUCAACUAAACCUUCCUUAGUAAAACAGAGUAAACAUAUAACCAACACUAAUGGUAACAUAUCAUGUCAUGUGAGCUUACUCAUUUUAUGUUUCAGGUUAACUAAGCCUACCUUGGUAAACCAGAGUAAACAUAAAACCAGCACUAAUGGUAACAUUUCAUGUCAUGUGAGCUUACUGAUUUUAUUAUCCAACAUAAACAAUAGUGUGUCUGAAGUAAAGACAUACACAAUCAACAAAUAGAGACUAGAGACUGAUAACAUGUGAUAUUGGUAAACACUAAAAACAAUACAUAGUAAUUAAACGGUUUAUACAUUAAUUUCAACAAUAUGUCUACCAUUCAUAAUUUAUCACACUGUCAUACUUAGAUAAAUAUGAUAAUGUGAUAAAUUAUGAAUAGCACUAACAUGUUUGGAUUACAGGUAAAAGGAAUCAAAUGACAGCCAUAACACAAAUUGGAAGAUAUUGACAAAUAUCAGGCUGAUUACCUCUUCUCAUAUUCCAAAGAUACAUUACACGUUAAGAUAUAGCAAUUCUCUGCCCGACGCUUCAUGUCAGGGUGUCUUGAACCAUGAUCAAGGACAAGACCCUCAACCUAGAAAAUACAGAGGAAUGAACUGAGUGGGAGCAAGAACCGCACAACCCAAAACAUAAGGUGCAUUAAAAUAAUAUAAUUAUAACUGAAGUAAGACAAUCAAGGUAAGUUACAGUUAAAUAUGGUUUGCUAUUUGCGAUAUUGCUACUACAGAGCCCAGGUAUUAUAGAUUUGUUUAUUCAUGAUUUAUUUGAGUUCAAAAAAUUAUAAAUAACAGAAACUCUCUACUUUACUUUGUUUUUCAUGAUUUAUUUAUUUGAGUUCAGAAGCUCUCUAAUCAGAAGAUAGUCCACUACAACUAUGCUUCAGCUCUCUAUAGAAGCUCUCUUCAUAAUGCUUCCUCUGGCUAUUUCUCUCAAGAGAAACAUAUUAAACACAAGGCCACUAUCAACUAUCAAUUUGGUAAUCACAACCAAACGCAAUUGUUAUCAGUUAUGACUUACAGUAGCACACAGACCAUGAAUUAUAUGGCCUAUCUUAGUUAGCCAAGGAGAUAAGCAAGAUGUGAAGAAUGUCAGCACAACUUAUGCAAUAAGAGGAUAACCUGCCCAGAGGUUAAAUUCGAAUCUCAUCAAGAUUCCAAACUUUUAGAAAAUGGUCUGAAGGAUAUAUUCAAAGAUGAAGAUGAUGAAAAACUACCCUUACCCUUCAUCAACUUGCUAUACUGAGUUACUAACUACUAUCUAGGAGAAUGCGAGCCUGUUCAAUAUACACCGAAUGGCAGUGAACAAAGAAAUGCUUGGUAGGAGACAGUAGAAAUGGAUUUAAUUUAUCAAUUCUUGAUUUAUGGUACAUAAGAGGGAAAAUAUGAUUGAAAAUUAUUUAAAAUAGCUUCUUGUUAAAAACUUCUUUUACAAGUACAGAUUUUUUUUAUAUUAGCCAGGAUAUGAAUCUAUAUCCAUAAAGCAAGAUGAGCAACAAAGCUUAAAGAUUGACAUACCAAAUGCACAAGAACUAUAGACUAAAUGUUAAAAACUUUUUCAUAUUUGGUAAUAACUGAGCUGAGAGCACCAAACUGUAAUAAUUAAAGCUAUAAUAACAACAAAACUAUAUAUGAAUUGAUUUCAGCACAAGAUGGAUAGCUUUUGAUCAUAACAAGCAAACAGUCCCUCUCAACACGAAACUAUCAUGCACUAACUAGAUCUCAAUCCUGCAUUUAGAGAAAAUCCACCCUGACUGGUUUUCAACAAAGGAAGAUAAGCAUAAUGAUUUCAACCAAAACAAAGUCAAGUCCUUGAUAAACUGUUACUAUCAUAAAAAAUAGGCAAACUUAUUCCUCAUCACAUCCCAACUUAUGCUUGACUAAUAUUAAGUUGAGAAUUUUAGAUGCUGUCAAAAGAUGGAAAUGUAAUAACGUGAACAUCCAGGUUGUACACAAUAUAUGUAAUAUGAAAUUUAAAAAAAUUAUCAAAAUAGUAUACAAAUUACUGGAAAAGUGUGGCUGCAAACAGUCAUUCAUAAAACAUACCAAGCGUGUGUCAACAUCAAACUUGUGUCGCAUAUGCAUAAUCUCCACCAUAAAAAGAUCAAUUUCCUCCUCAGGCUUCCGGAUGCAUAAAACCUAUCAUAGCAAAAACCACAAAAAGUUCCGGGUCAAUUAAGCAGCAAAAUGUACAUCUUUAAAUAACCAAACAAACAUGAAAAUAAAAUUUUCAUAUUUAUAAGGAAUCAAAGUUAAAAUGUCUAAAAUUCAAUAUAAACUCACCGCAUUAACAAUUAUGUCAGUCAAUUGAUCUGCAAGUGAUUCAUGCAACUGCAAAUGAUGAGGAAAUAUACGGUGAGAACAUCAUGCGUGUUAAAAAGUUAUGUUGAGAAGUUAUUAUUCACUCUGUCUGCAGUAUCAAUGUAUGAUCAAAUUUGAGCAAAAAACGGAUAAUAUAAAAUGAGUUUUACCUUUGUCCUCACGGUUGUUCUAGCUACCAUCUUGAGAAUCUCUUUAUCAGGCUCACCACCCAUCACAACAGGAGUCUUAAACUUUUCAAGGAAUUGCAGAGUUGCUCUCUUUGCAAUAUCAAAACCAUCAACCAACACGCGUGGAUGCAUACCUAGAAUAUCCAUAUAUCAUCUCAGCAUUAGCAAAGGAUGAAAUGACAGAUAAGGCAUCAAAACGAGAAAGGCUCAUCCCUCAUUUUGAGGAUGUUUAUUUGCCCCAAAUCCUACAACUGAAUAGAAUAGGAUAGCAUUUAAUGCCUCUCUUUUGUAAACAAUUCAUGGCCGUUUCAACUGUGAAGGGGAUCACACCUGCUGAAUCGCAAAGAAACUGCACUCCCUAGUUACACUCAUGUUCUCACAUCUUUUGCGCAUUCAGUCUUGUUUCUUCUAAAAUCUGUUUUAGAGGAUAUUGUACCAUCACCUAGUAGCGUUUUUCAUCUUCUCUCAAGCCAAAAAAUCGUCUUCUCAAAAAUUUUCCCUUAAUAACUAUAAGAAAUCACCACCAGUAGAAAAUUAACGGCAGUUUCAUAGUAAUAAAACUGUUCAUAUAGAUAAAUAGUCUUCUUUCUUUUAAAAUCUACUUUAAAGGUUAUCAUAUCGUCAUCCUAGUUGCAUUUUACCUCUUCUCUCUGUAGCAAAAAAUACCCUCAUCUCUAAUAAAAAAACCAACUAACCACAAGAAAUCACCACUUAAUCACAAAAAACAGUAAGAAAGUUCAUACUAAUAAAGCUGGAAAGCUGGAUAAAGAUAAACAGUCACAUGUUAGAGUGUACGCCUACGAACACACAAAGAGAACAAGCAAUGCAAAGAAAAACUCAGAAACAAAUGCAAACUCCAACAGAGACUCAAACUCACUAACCUUCAUCAAUGUAACGUUCCGACUGCUUCAUAAGUUCGCCAAUGAAGAUGACAGUGGAAGUGGUGCCGUCUCCGCUAGCGUCAUCCUGCGCCACAGCGGUCCUCGCAAUCAUAAUCGCCGUCGGGUUCUGGAUUUGCUGAGAUCACAACAAACAAGAUCAAAACACGUUCCGCCGUAACGGUUUUCAAGUGCUCGUAGUAGCAGAUCUCAAUUAAUAACAGAAAAAAAUGAAGAAAAAAAAAAACUAACCAUCUCUUUCAAGAGAGUGUUGCCAUCUUUGGUAAGCUUAAUAUCACCAGCGCCACCAACG
rnacentral:lncRNA from 1 species